rnacentral:rRNA from 1 species
GGCCCAGACUCCUACGGGAGGCAGCAGUGGGGCCUCUUGCACAAUGGGGGGAACCCUGAUGCCGCGACGCCGCGUGAGUGAAGAAGUCAUUCGUGAUGUACCGCUCUAUCAGCAGGGAAGAAAAUGACGGUCCCUGACCAAGAAGCCCCGGCUAACUACGUGCCAGCAGCCGCGGUAAUACGUAGGGGGCAAGCGUUAUCCGGAAUUACUGGGUGUAAAGGGAGCGUAGACGGUGAAGUAAGUCUGGGGUGAAAGGCGGGGGCCCAACCCCCGGACUGCUCUGGAAACUAUUUGACUGGAGUGCAGGAGAGGUAAGCGGAAUUCCUAGUGUAGCGGUGAAAUGCGUAGAUAUUAGGAGGAACACCAGUGGCGAAGGCGGCUUACUGGACUGUAACUGACGUUGAGGCUCGAAAGCGUGGGGAGCAAACAGGAUUAGAUACCCCAGUAC